rnacentral:rRNA from 1 species
AUGGCGGCAACGAUGGCGGAGGGCGAGCCGCCGCCGUUCACCCAUGAGGACAAUCGCCGCUUCCUCCAGAUGCUCCGCGACAAGAAGCAAAUGCUGGGAAUCGGCAGCCCCAAGGUGGAGGUGCAGUUCCAGGACCUCACCGUGGAGACUUACGUGCGCAUCGGCCGCCGGGAGCUGCCGACGCUGCCCAACUGCGUCGUCAACGCCGCCCAGGAGUUGGCAUCAUAUUCGCACAUGUGCACACCAAGGAAAAGAGCGGUCAAAAUUAUAAAUGCAGCAAGUGGAACAAUUCGACCAUCAAGGAUGACACUUCUACUGGGAGCACCUGGUUCCGGGAAAACAACCUUUUUAAAAGCAUUGGCAGGAAAGCUGGAUUUGUCUUUGAAGCGCAAAGGAAAGCUCAUGUACAAUGGAGAUGAAGUGAAUUCCUCAACACCACAACACAUGCAUGCUUACAUUAGCCAGUAUGAUCUUCACCAUGCUGAGAUGACGGUCAGAGAGACGAUUGAUUUUGCAUCCAAUAUGUUGGGAACCAACAAUGAAUUCGAGAUGAUUGGAGAAGCAGCAAGAAGAAAACAUGAUGUUGUAAACGAAGUUGACAAAAAUCUUGACUCAUUUAUUAAGGCUACCACAUUUGGAGAAGGAAGAAACCUUACAACAAACUACAUUAUCAAGAUACUUGGUUUGUCUGAGUGUACAGAUACCCUAGUGGGGGAUGAGAUGAGGAGAGGCAUAUCUGGAGGACAAAAGAAAAGAUUAACAAUCGGAGAAAUGCUAGUUGGUCUAGCAAAAUGCUUCUUUAUGGAUGAUAUUUCAACUGGUCUUGAUAGCUCCACGACGUACGAGAUCAUAAAAGUUAUACAACAAAUGGCUCAUUUACUAGAUCUCACGGUGGUUAUUUCCUUGCUUCAACCACCUCCUGAGACAUUGGAAUUAUUUGACGACAUAAUUCUUUUAUGUGAGGGUCAAAUUGUAUACCAGGGCCCUCGAGAAAAUGCUACUGAUUUCUUUGAGAUUAUGGGAUUCAAAUGCCCCGAAAGGAAGAAUAUAGCCGAUUUCCUUCAAGAGGUGACCUCCAUGAUGGACCAAAAGCAAUAUUGGAUUGGUGAACAACAUAGGUAUCACUACCAUUCAAUUGAAAAAUUUGCGGAAUCAUUCCGUUCAUCCUAUCUCCCUCGACUUGUACAAGACAAACUUUUACUGCCAAAUACUAAUACAAUAAAGGGCGAGGUGGUAAAAACUGGUUCAGGUCUCUCCAGAUGGAAUGUUUUCAAGGCAUGUUUUUCAAGGGAAGUACUACUUCUGAAAAGAAACUCCCCAAUACACAUAUUCACAACCAUACAGAUAACUAUCCUUGCUUUGGUGAUAUCGACUAUUUUCCUUCGAACAAAUAUGAACCACAAAUCUAUACUUGAUGCCAACAAGUAUGUUGGAGCUCUCUUUAUUGCUGUUAUGCUAGUAAAUUUCAAUGGCAUGAUUGAAAUUGCAAUGACAAUCAAGAGACUUCCCACUUUCUACAAACAAAGAGAGUUACUAGCAUUGCCAGGAUGGGCACUCCUUACUCCAAAUUUCCUUCUUAGUAUCCCAAUAUCACUUAUGCAGACAGGUCUUUGGACUAGCUUAACCUACUAUUUGAUUGGCUAUGCACCUUCCUUUAUCAGAUUCAUGAAGCACUUCUUGGUACUUUUUUCCAUGCAUCAAACAUCAAUGGGCAUGUGUCGUUUGUUAGCAGCAGUGGCAAGGACGCUAGUAAUGGCCAACGUUCUAGCAACCACAACCCUUAUAGCAAUCUUUAUAUUUGGAGGCAUCGUCAUUUCAAAAGAUGAUCUCAAACAAUGGUUACAGUGGGGAUAUUGGACAUCACCAUUCGCCUAUGCGCAGAAUGCAAUCUCUUUAAAUGAGUUCCUUGAUGAAAGAUGGGCUACAGAAUUUCAUUAUGAAAAUGCUAAUACGAUUGGUGAAGCUAUCCUCAAGAUCAGGGGUUUUCUCACGGAGUCGCACUGGUAUUGGAUUUGUGUCAGCGUUUUAUUUGGAUUCGCGCUCGUCUUCAAUAUACUCAGUAUAUUUGCACUGGAGUUCUUGAACUCACCACAUAAACGUGAAGUUCACACCAAUGCCACGGAUACAAUGAUGGAGUGUGCAACAACAAAAAAUGGAUCUCACGAUGCAUCAAUUCCACAAGGUGUCCUUCCAUUUCAGCCUCUUUCCUUUGCAUUCGAUGCUAUCAACUAUUCUGUCGAUAUGCCUAAGGAGAUGAUGAAGUAUGGAGUAACAGAGAAAAAACUUCAUCUACUACAAGAUGUCAGCGGUGCUUUCAGGCCAGGAGUGCUAACAGCUCUGAUGGGGAUCACUGGUGCUGGAAAGACAACAUUGCUCGAUGUUUUGGCCGGAAGAAAAACCGGAGGGUAUAUUGAAGGUACUAUCAAGGUAGCAGGAUACCCAAAGAAGCAAGAGACAUUUUCAAGGAUCUCGGGCUAUUGUGAACAAAGUGACAUUCACUCCCCUAACCUCACUGUAUACGAGUCACUUCAGUUUUCUGCAAGACUUCGCUUGCCUUCGGAAGUUACAUCGCACCAAAGAGAUAUGUUUAUACAUGAAGUGAUGCACCUAGUUGAGUUAACUAGAUUGAAGAAUGCAAUGGUGGGUCUGCCAGGAGCAACUGGCCUGUCAGCUGAGCAACGAAAAAGGCUAACAAUGGCCGUGGAGCUGGUAGCUAGUCCCUCCAUCAUAUUUAUGGAUGAGCCAACCACUGGCUUGGAUGCCCGUUCUGCAGCAAUUGUCAUGAGAGCUGUAAGAAAGACAGUGGACACGGGACGAACUAUUGUAUGCACAAUUCAUCAACCAAGCAUUGAGAUAUUUGAAUCAUUUGAUGAGCUUCUACUUAUGAAAAGAGGUGGUCGGAUCAUAUAUAGUGGUUCACUAGGCCCACAUUCUUGCAACAUGAUAGAUUAUUUCGAGGCUAUACCCUGUGUUCCUAGAAUAAAAGAGGGACAAAACCCAGCAGCAUGGAUGUUGAAUGUUAGUUCAAACACAACAGAAUACGAGAUUGGACUGGACUAUGCAGAAAUUUAUCGACGCUCCUCUCUAUACAAGGAGAACAUGAUUCUAGUUGACGAGCUUGGAAAACCAACACCCGGCAUAGAGGAUCUACAUUUUCCUCCAAUAUACUGGCAGAACUUUAGCGCACAAUGCAUGGCUUGCUUGUGGAAACAAAGAUGUGCAUAUUGGAAAAACCCGGAACAUAAUGUUGCUCGAUUCCUAAACACGUUUGUUCAAUCAACUAUGUUUGGAGUUGUAUUUUGGCAAACUGGAUCAACAAUUAAACAGCAACAAGAUAUAUUCAACAUACUAGGACUCAUAUAUGGAACAUCACUAUUUCUGGGCUUCAAUAAUUGCACUAUGUUACAACCAGUUGUGGCCGUGGAGAGGGUUGUUCUCUAUCGAGAAAAGGCGGCAGGCACAUACUCCACCUUGGCCUAUGCCAUAGCUCAGGUGGCAAUUGAAUUGCCUUACAUGCUUGUCCAAGUGUUCAUGUUUGCGGCAAUCAUUUACCCAAUGAUUGGAUUCCAAAUGACCAUUGGCAAGUUCUUUGAGUUUAUCCUUUACAUGGUGCUAAGUUACAUGUACUACACACUCUUCGGGAUGAUGACAGUAGCACUGACACCAAACGUGGAGAUAGCUUCUGGAUUAGUCUAUCUUAUCUUCCUCUUUUGGAAUGUCUUCUCUGGCUUCGUCGUUGGAAGAUUGCUAAUCCCGGUGUGGUGGAGGUGGGCGUAUUGGGCAAAUCCAUCAGCAUGGACGGUGUAUGCGCUCAUGUUCUCGCAGCUGGGCGAUCGUACGGAGCUGAUUCUUGUGCCCGGGCUGCCAUACCAGACAGUGCGGGAGUUCCUGGAGAGCUACCUUGGCCUCGAGGAUGUCUACAUGAACCUUGUCACCUACCUGCAUGUGGCCAUUAUCGCCUUGUUCACCAUUGUCUUCUUUAUCUCCUUGAAGUACCUCAAUUUCCAGCGGAGAUAG